AGUGAACGCUGGCGGUAGGCCUAACACAUGCAAGUCGAACGGCAGCACAGUAAGAGCUUGCUCUUACGGGUGGCGAGUGGCGGACGGGUGAGGAAUACAUCGGAAUCUACUUUUUCGUGGGGGAUAACGUAGGGAAACUUCCGCUAAUACCGCAUACGACCUCCGGGUGAAAUCAGGGGAUCUUCGGACCUUGCGCGAUUGAAUGAGCCGAUGUCGGAUUAGCUAGUUGGCGGGGUAAAGGCCCACCAAGGCGACGAUCCGUAGCUGGUCUGAGAGGAUGAUCAGCCACACUGGAACUGAGACACGGUCCAGACUCCUACGGGAGGCAGCAGUGGGGAAUAUUGGACAAUGGGCGCAAGCCUGAUCCAGCCAUACCGCGUGGGUGAAGAAGGCCUUCGGGUUGUAAAGCCCUUUUGUUGGGAAAGAAAAGCAGCAGGUUAAUACCCCGCUGUUCUGACGGUACCCAAAGAAUAAGCACCGGCUAGCUUCGUG
rnacentral:rRNA from 1 species